rnacentral:rRNA from 1 species
AUUGAACGAUGGCGGCAGGCCUAACAUAUGCAAGUCGAACGAGUGGCGGACGGGUGAGUAAUGACUGGGAAACUGCAUGAUGGAGGGGGAGAACAACUGGAAACGGUAGCUAAUACCGCAUACCAUCGGAUGUGCCCAGAUGGGAUUAGCUAGUAGGUGGGGUAACGGCUCACCUAGGCGACGAUCCCUAGCUGGUCUGAGAGGAUGACCAGCCACACUGGAACUGAGACACGGUCCAGACUCCUACGUGAGGCAGCAGUGGGGACUAUUGCACAAUGUGCGCAAUCCUGAUGCAGCCACGCCGCGUGUAUGAAGAAGGCCUUCUGGUUGUAAAGUACUUGCAGCGGGGAGGCGUUAUCCGCAGAAGAAACACCGGCUAACUCCGUCCCAGCAGCCGCGGUAAUAC